CUGGUCUUUCUUCUUUUCUGCAGACAUGGAGGAAAGCUGUCAGAUCACUGCACGUCCCCAGGUGCUGUGGGCCAGUCCGGCCAUGUAGCUUGCCUUCCAUUUUAGUCAGGAGCUAGUGCUUCUUUCAUUUCUUCAGUCUCUGCCAGAAGAAGAGACUUGAUGUGUUGCUUGUCCAUUUGCGCAACAUGCUCACUGAGGGUGC